UACGAAGGGGGCUAGCGUUGUUCGGAAUCACUGGGCGUAAAGGGCGCGUAGGCGGCUUUGUAAGUCGGGGGUGAAAGCCUGUGGCUCAACCACAGAAUUGCCUUCGAUACUGCAUGGCUUGAGACCGGAAGAGGUAAGUGGAACUGCGAGUGUAGAGGUGAAAUUCGUAGAUAUUCGCAAGAACACCAGUGGCGAAGGCGGCUUACUGGUCCGGUUCUGGACGCUG
rnacentral:rRNA from 1 species